rnacentral:rRNA from 1 species
UGGGAACGUGCCCAAAGGUACGGAACAACUCCGGGAAACUGGAGCUAAUACCGUAUGUGCCCGAAAGGGGAAAGAUUCAUCGCCUUUGGAUCGGCCCGCUCUGAUUAGCUAGUUGGCGGGGUAAUGGCCCACCAAGGCGACGAUCAGUAGCUGGUCUGAGAGGGUGACCGGCCACACUGGGACUGAGACACGGCCCAGACUCCUACGGGAGGCAG